rnacentral:tRNA from 1 species
ACCUGGGUGGCUCAGUUGGUUAAGCGCCUGACUUCAGCUCAGGUCAUGAUCUCAUGGUUUCGUGGGUUCGAGCCCCACGUUCAGGCU